UCCUCGAGACUUUACGAGGACACACACGAGUAUGCAGAAAGGAUCGUCAUCACUCUGGAUAGUGCAGCAGUGAUGGUGAUGGUCACCACCGCUGUGGGUUUGCAUCGCGCGACCCUUCGCUCCGCGUUCGGAUGGUGCUGCUUCCCUGGCUUUGCAUGUGUACAUGCACGUGUGCGUCUGUGUUAGUGUACCAGUCACUGUGUUAUAGGGAGCGUGGACUUGAUCAAGAAAGCACGCUCUAUCGGACGAAGCGGCAACGUGCUGCUGCAUAUGAAUGCCUCCCUAUCUCUGACCAUGUGUGCGCCUGCGGGCAUACGAUCUUGUGAAGGCUCUCCAAUCGGGUGGCACCUCGAAUAUCGCCUUCAACUCCCUUGGAGGUCAUGGGUGCGUCCCCCAAUUCCAUCCCGUAUACACACCCAAUCGAUGUGUUUGCGUGUGCGCGUGUGUGAGGGAGACGUCUUUCUGUAUGCCAGGCGCACCUUUCACCUCGCACCUCUCCGUUUGUAUCUCUGUUGUGCACAAACAUGCAACCAUACGCACACAUGCUUUCACGGCUCAUCUCUUGCGUCUCUCUCUGCUUUGUGUGUGUAUGUGCACAUGCAG
rnacentral:misc_RNA from 1 species